rnacentral:rRNA from 1 species
UACGUAGGGUGCAAGCGUUGUCCGGAAUUAUUGGGCGUAAAGAGCUCGUAGGCGGUUUGUCGCGUUGUUCGUGAAAACUCACAGCUCAACUGUGGGCGUGCGGGCGAUACGGGCAGACUGGAGUACUGCAGGGGAGACUGGAAUUCCUGGUGUAGCGGUGGAAUGCGCAGAUAUCAGGAGGAACACCGGUGGCGAAGGCGGGUCUCUGGGCAGUUCCUGACACUGAGACACGAAGGCCAGGGGAGCAAACGGG